GACGAACGCUGGCGGCAUGCCUAACACAUGCAAGUCGAACGAUGCGUUCGGGCGUAGUGGCUCAUGGGUUCGGAACGCGUGGGGAGCUUCCCUUGUGUUCGGAAUAACAGUGAGAAAUUGCUGCUAAUACCGGAUGAUGUCUUCGGACCAAAGAUUUAUCGCCCAGGGAUGAGCCCGCGUAGGAUAGCGAGUUGGUGGGGUAAUGGCCUACCAAGGCGACGAUCCUUAGAUGGUCUGAGAGGAUGAUCAGCCACACUGGGACUGAGACACGGCCCAGACUCCUACGGGAGGCAGCAGUGGGGAAUAUUGGACCAUGGGCGCAAGCAUGAUCCAGCACUGCCGCGUGAGUGAUGUAGGCAUUAGGGUUGUAAAGCUCUUUUAACCGGGAUGAUAAUGACAGUACCGGGAGAAUAAGCCCCGGCUAACUACGUG
rnacentral:rRNA from 1 species